CCUCCUUUGGUCCUCCUUUCUUCCUCUUUUUCCCUUUUCUCUCUCCUUAACCAGCCAAGUCGCGUGAGGGAGGACGGCCCUACGGGUUGUAAACCUCUUUUGCCGGGGAGCAACGGGCGUCACGUGUGGCGCCACUUAGAGUACCCGGAGAAAAAGCAUCGGCUAACUCCGUGCCAGCAGCCGUGGUAAUACGGGGGAUGCGAGCGUUACCCGAUUUUAUUGGGUUUAAAGGGUGCGUGGGCGGAUCGUUAAGUCAGUGGUCAAAUUGAGGGGCUCAACCCCUUCCCGCCAUUGAAACUGGCGCUCUUGAGUGGAAGAGAAGUAUGCGGAAUGCGUGGUGUAGCGGUGAAAUGCAUAGAUAUCACGCAGAACCCCGAUUGCGAAGGCAGCAUGCCGGCUUCCGACUGACGCUGAAGCACGAAAGCGUGGGGAUCGAACAGGAUUAGAUACCCCGGUAGUC
rnacentral:rRNA from 1 species